rnacentral:rRNA from 1 species
UACGUAGGGGGCAAGCGUUGUCCGGAUUUAUUGGGCGUAAAGAGCGUGUAGGCGGCCAGACAGGUCCACUGUGAAAACUCGAGGCUCAACCUCGAGAGGUCGGUGGAAACCGUCUGGCUAGAGUCCGGAAGAGGAGAGUGGAAUUCCCGGGUGUAGCGGUGAAAUGCGCAGAUAUCAGGAGGAACACCGGUGGUGUAGACGGCUCUCUGGACCGUAACUGACGCUGAGACACGAAAAGCGUGGGUAGCAAACAGG